rnacentral:rRNA from 1 species
UACGGGGGGGGCAAGCGUUGUUCGGAAUUACUGGGCGUAAAGGGCUCGUAGGCGGCCAACUAAGUCGGAUGUGAAAUCCCCGGGCUCAACCCGGGAACUGCGUCCGAUACUGGGAGGCUUGAAUCCGGGAGAGGGAUGCGGAAUUCCAGGUGUAGCGGUGAAAUGCGUAGAUAUCUGGAGGAACACCGGUGGCGAAGGCGGCAUCCUGGACCGGCAUUGACGCUGAGGCGCGAAAGCCAGGGGAGCAAACGGG